GACGAACCGUGCAAACGUUGUUCGGAAUCACUGGGCUUAAAGGGCGCGUAGGCGGGCAAGCAAGUCCGGGGUGAAAUCUUUCGGCCCAACCGGAAAAGGGCCUUGGAUACUGCUUGUCUGGAGGGAGGUAGGGGCAGACGGAACUUCCGGUGGAGCGGUGAAAUGCGUUGAUAUCGGAAGGAACGCCGGUGGCGAAAGCGGUCUGCUGGACCUCUACUGACGCUGAGGCGCGAAAGCCAGGGGAGCGAACGGA
rnacentral:rRNA from 1 species